CAAGGAAUCUUGCGCAAUGGGCGAAAGCCUGACGCAGCGACGCCGCGUGGGGGAAGAAUGCCCUAGGGUUGUAAACCCCUUUUCUUAGGGAAGAAUAAUGACGGUACCUGAGGAAUAAGCCCCGGCUAACUACGUGCCAGCAGCCGCGGUAAUACGUAGGGGGCGAGCGUUAUCCGGAAUUACUGGGCGUAAAGAGGGCGUAGGCGGUCCUUCAAGUUGGAUGUAAAAUCUCCCGGCUCAACUGGGAGGGACCAUUCAAUACUGUUGGACUAGAGGAUAGCAGAGGAAGACGGAAUUCCCGGUGUAGUGGUGAAAUGCGUAGAUAUCGGGAGGAACACCAGUGGCGAAGGCGGUCUUCUGGGCUAUUUCUGACGCUGAGGCCCGAAAGCGUGGGGAGCGAACAGG
rnacentral:rRNA from 1 species